AAUUGAUAAGUAUAAUUGUACAUUUGACCUCCAAUCAGAAAGCUUGAAACAAUCAAAUCAAUUA
rnacentral:tRNA from 1 species